rnacentral:lncRNA from 1 species
UUUUUUAGAAGAGUUGAAUAUAAUGACAUGUUCCUUUUCCCUCAGCAAAGAAAAUAACGUCUAGCUAUAAAGGAAUAGGCAUAUACUACAUGUUCUUCAGAUCGAGCCUCAGAUCUGAAACGCAGUCUUACUUAACCUCUGCAUGCAUCCUUCCUUCCGUUUAAGCAUUUGUUAAAAAAUGGAAAGCAUUUCUAUUUUCUUAACUUUUUCUUUCAUUUAAUGUCUUUUUUAAUUUAGAGUUUAUUUGAGCAUCCAGUGAUUCAUGAAUCAGUCAGCACUAGACCACAAGCAGUUCAGUGCUCCACUGUGGAGGCAAAAAGGGAAAACUUUUGUAAGAUGUUUGCAGACACAAAACAAAUAAAAAUAUUUGGUUAAAUUGGGAAGUCCCUAGUGAGAAGUUGGUUGACAGUUUCUAGUUGGUUAAGCUUAAGUUUUGUUUUCUGGAUUUAACGUCUUGUUUCUAUAAUUAUAAAAUGAAUACAGUCACUUCAGAAACCUAGAAAUGUAUAAAGUAAAAAUUUUCCACAAUACUCCACCCAAAGAUAACUUUUUUGAGUAUGAAUUUGUUCUUCCUCAAAAUACGCGUUUUAAACAAUUGAUAUCAAAAUGCAUCUUGUUUAUUUGGCUUUUGAAACUGUUAUAACACAACUUAUAACAUUGGAAAUACAUUAUUUUAUUAAUACAAAGUAGUUUUCAUAGUAAAAUACCAAAUUAAUUAAAAGGCAGAAUGAAACGUACCAUAUACAUGUAGACGACAAAUGAAAACUGUCAAAGUAUCCUUCUCUCUAAAAAGCCACAAAUUACGUUCUUUGAAGUAAGUAUUGGGUUUUAUUUCCUAAACUAUACACAUCAAUAUCACCUCCUGAAGCUUUUUACCCAGUUUCACGGUUGGUAUUUCGGACAUGCAAUGUUCCAUGCUGUCAAACUUGGAAUGCCUCGUUUGGAUACAGGGAGACAAAGACUUGGAGACCCAGAAGCCUGAAAGUGGUUCUUGACCGACUUUGUCCACUCAAAUUAAGGCAUCAUGCAGCUGGUCAUCACUUACAUUGCUGGUUGCACGCAGGCACACACACACCAGUGCUCACAGCCAGCACUUGUUAAGAAUGGUUGAGCUGGACCAAAUGGUAUACGUGUCUUUCAUCAAUAUAAACAUGGACUGCAUUCAUCUGGACACGGGCCUUUCCCGCCUACCGAGCCUGCCCACCACCCGAAGUUUAAGCUCAUCUUGGAGGACCUGACACUCAGGAAGCCGUCUCCCGUUGUUCCACCGGCUUUGUGGCCCCAAUGUCUGUAUAAGCUGCUGAUUUGCCUUGGGAAAACAAACCAGCAUCGAUUUCAGAGAAAUUACUGGAUAAUUUGCGCUGUGAGGCGCCUAGAUCGCAAGGCGCACUCCGCAAAUGACAGCCGCUCCCGUGCACUUGUCCAGUCAUUCGGGUGGCAUACUGUCCGGGUGGAAGCCCGCCAAAAUAAUCCAUUUGGAAGGGACGGAGGGCUUCGUCAGAAAUUGCCUUCUUGUAGCUAUGAGACAUUGAGCAAAACAGAUAAGAACUGGGGCAAUGGAGGCAUAAACAUUAAGGCUAGGAUGUAUUUUUGGGGAGAAAGCGGCGGCUAGCAGGGACGAAGCUCAACUUCAUGCGCCGCGCCCCGGAAUGCUUUGCCUUUAGCCACUAGCGGAGCCGCCCGCCUGAGGGAGCCCUCCGGGAGUGAGCGCACGCAACCGUGCAGUCAGAUUCCUCCGCCGACCGCGGCCCUCUCUCCUCGGGCUUUGCCUUCGCUCUCUAGCUUUUCUUCUUUCACUCCCGCUCGCCGACUCCAGCCCGCUGGGCUCACGCUCUGCCGGACACCAAUCCCGGCGGCCCUGCCCGACGGAGCUCAAGGCUAGGCCUGGCCUUGUCCGCGGAGUCCGCCCCUCGCCGCCACCGGGAUCCGCCCCCGCGCCGACACGCACUUCCGGCAGCGCCGCGGCCGGGAGGGACCGAGCGGGGAGCAAGGCCUGCGGGGAGGCGCAGGAUGGACGCGUUGGCUGUCAUGAUGUAGGACCUCCUGACCUAGAACCAUGCCCGGCGCAGGGAGAACAACGAGCUUACGGACCGGGUGCGGGGGCUGCUGUGCGAGAAAGCCUACCUGCUGGCCCGGGAGCGUUCGCCGGCCCACCUGGUGGCUUUCCCUGGACGUUUAACGGCGACUCCGCCCGGCCUCCCGACUUUUUGAUGCAGGCGUUCUCUUACAUGACUUUCUUCGAGGCUAGAUUCUCGAAAGACAUCCUGAAGGUGGCUUUCUUAAUUAGCUGCCUCACCGGCUGGCGGAGCAGUUCGUAGUCGCCUACAUCGAGAGGGAGAGCCCCGUCCUGGCUCAGUACUGGGGCUUCGUGGACGCGCUGUAGCGGGUCUUCGCCGUCGUGGGUAGGAAACAGUCGGGCCGGAUCCCCGGUGUCUGGGGAGCGGCUGCCGGCCGGGCCCGCGCGAGCCGCUUCACUCCUACAAGCCCGGCUCACUAGUUCCAAGCUGCUGGACUUUGACCCUCGCUGGGAAGCUUGAUCGCCGCCUGUUCUCGCCAAUCUCUAUGCCUUUGCACUGCCCAGCAACCCGGUCACUGCCCAGGACCUGUUAAAAGUUGAAUGGACCUCCCAGAAUCACGCCGCUGCCACCGCCGUUUCUAGAGACGGCUUUUGGCCACCUUUGAGAAUCAGGGUCAAACUUGGAAGGGCCUGCAUUUGUCACACUUCCUCGGACACUAAUUUGGAUAGUUCAGGCCCAGAGACGGCUUCCCGGGUUAGUGUGCCUGACAACACUGAAGAAAAAUUGUGACAUUUUCCUUCCCCAGAAUUACUUCGUUUUAUACAUUUCACUUCUCUUCUGAAAUCACAGCAAUGCCAGUUUGCGCCUUUUGGUCUGAGGAACGCAGGCCCUGGCCACUACCAGGAAAAAAUCCUUUGCACAUGGCCUGCUAUCAACAAUCCUCUACAAUGAUUCUCAGCAUCACCUAGGGAGCUUAUGUAAAAUCUCAAAUUCCUGGGCCCUAUCCCCAGAGUUUCUUAUCAAGUAAGUCUGCAUUGGGAUCUGAGGAUUUGCAUCUCUAACAAAAAUUCCUAGGCGAUGCUCACACUGUUGGUGUAAGGUUUCCUUGAUGGAGAACUAUCAAAGCAGUCAAAGCUAUCAAAAUAAAAAAGAAUUCUGAUUGGGUGCAGUGGCUCACACCUGUCAUUCCAGCACUUUGAGAGGCCAAGGUGGGCAGAUCACAUGAGGCCAGGAGUUCAAGACCAGCCUGGCCAACAUGGCAGAAACCCCAUCUCUACUAAAAAUACCAAAAUUAGCCGGGCAUGGUGGAACACACCUGCAAUCCCAGCUACUCGGGAGGCUGAGGCAAGAGAAUCGCUUGAACCUGGGAGGCAGAAGUUGCAGUGAAACAAGUUGGUGCCAAUGCAUUCCAGCCUGGAUGAUGGAGCGAGACUCUGUCUCAAGAAAAAAAAAACAAAAACAAAAACAGAACUCUGCCUCAUAGCGUCUUUUAAGUUAUACACUGGACCUAUCCUUUCCUCACUGACAGACAUUUUAAAAAUUUUUUGGUAAGGCCUAGUUCAUAUAAAAUGUAAUCCAAGCCAAAAGUUAACAAGAAUAAGGGGAGGAAAGGGGACUCCAAUAGCAGAGAAAGGUAUUUACCUGGGAUAUACACUGCAAGAAAAUCAAAGCUAUAAGAAACGUCCAUGAAUAGUAGCCAUAAGGCAUCAGAGUGAUAAAAUUCCUGUCCCUAGGAGGGAAUAUUGGAGUUUGCCAGAGAAACAGAAUGAGAGAGACAGAGAGGUUUAUUGUAGGAAUUGGCUCAUAUGAUUACGGAGGCUGAGAAGACCCACGAUCUGCCAUCUGCAAGCUGGAGAAUCAGGAAAGCUGGAGGUGUAAUUCAGUCAAGUCCAAUGGCCAGAGAAGCAAGUGUACUGAUAUCCAAGAGCAGGAGAAAAUAGAUGUCCCAGAACAAGCAGAGAGGCUGAUUUUGUCCUUCCUCUGCCUUUUUGUUUCAUAUGGGGCACUGAAUGGACUGAUGCCCAUCCACAUUAGUGAGGGUGGAUCUUCUUUACUCAGUCUACCAGUAGAAAUGUCAAUGACUUCCAGAAACACCCUCACCAACACACGUGGAAAUAAUGUUUUACCAGGUAUCUGGGCAUCCCUUGGUUCACUCAAGUUGACACAAAAUUAACCAUCACAGAAGGAGACUGGCCUUACUCUGAAAUUAGGAAACUAAAGAAGUGACCAGAAUGGAGACUAGGUAGAGACAACUAGUUCUCUACCAAACAUGUACAGUUAUUCGUUGGUAUCUGAAGGGGAUUGGUUCCAGGAACUCUCAGGGAUACCAAAAUCUGCAGGUGCUCAAGUCAUUUAUAUAAAAUAUUACAGUAUUUGCAUAUAACCUUUGCACAUCUUCCAUAUACUUUAAAUCAUCUCUACAUUACUUAUAAUAAUGAAUGUGUAAAUGCUAUGAAAAUAGUUACUACACUAUUGUUUAUUUGUAUUUUUAUUGAAUUGUUUUGGGGUGGGGGGCAGCUGUAUCUUUCUUAGUAAUAGAACCCCUGGUUUUAGCUGGGCACAUGACUGCCCUCAAUAAAGAUUAAAGUACCCCAGCCUUCCUUGAGAUUGUGGCCAUGUGACUGAACUUUAGACAGUGAGAUAUAAGCAGAUAUCUUCUGUGGCAGUGUUAGGAAACUAUUAAAGACAGUAAGAACAUUGCCCUUUGCCUUCUUUUUCCUUUCUUCAUUUUUCUGCCUGGAAUGCAAAUGUGAUGGCUAACACCCUAGCAGCCAUUUUAGAUUAUGAAGAUGAGAGUCACUCCCCAGGAAGGGUGGACCUGAAAGCUGGAUUCUAGAUGUGGAAUGACAAUACCAGCCCUGGACUACCUACCUGUAGGCUGUGUGUGUGUGUGUGUGAUUGACAGAGAGAGAGAGAGAUAGAUACCACAAGUAACACAAAGCAUCAUACCUGGGACUGGGAAGGUUAAUGUUUAAACAUUUUAAAUGUGGCAUUGGUUUGUUGAAGACAGUCAAGCAGUAGGUGCUGCAGGCUUUGUUGAGGCUAGAAAGCUGUUGGUCUUUAUUAGGUGAUGGCAAAACAAUGGAUCACAUUUUCAUGUGCUGUGUCUUGGGAGGCAAAUGAUGAGAAUGUAGGAUUGGGGAAAAUGGUAAGGAAAAUCCAAAAUGUUCAUGUUUUCUAACCCCUUCUUGCCAAUCUUAAAAGAAGGACAAACAGGCUAGAUUAAGCAAGUCUACAGUUACAAUUGGAAGGAAACACAGCCGUACUAAGGAAGUACUCUGUCUGUGGCCUGCAGUCUAGUUUGACUAGGUCCUGUAUUUGAGCUUUGAAAGAGUAAAGAAUACAAGUGCUCGUAUACCCCUGAAGUAGUUACCAGCAGUGACUGCAAGGAGGUAAUCUUAUGGGAUGAAACUAUAACUCUGUAUUAACCAUCAUAUAUAGCAUAUAUGUGUAUAUGUAUGUGUGUGUGUGUAUAUGUGUAUAUAAAUAUAUGUGUGUGUAUAUACACACAUGUACACACCCUACAACCCAGUGAUUUCAAAAAAUUAAACAUUUGUUUAGCUCAUGAAUCUGUGGGUUGGGUGAACAUUUCUAUUGGUCUUGGCUGGGCUCACCUGUACCCAGUCAGCUGCAGGGUCUAGCUCUUCUUAUCUUGGCUGGGAUCUCACACAUGUCUAGGAUCAGCUGCUUUACUAGUCUAGGAUUGUCUUGGCUGAGACAGGUGGACUACUCAGUUCUCCUCCACUGCCUUAUCCUUCAGCUGGCCAGCCCAGAAAUGUUGCCAUGUUUACAGCAUAAGAGCAAGCAAGAAAGAAUAAUAUGCAACCACUUUUCCAAGCCUAAGGUGAAAGGGCGGGCAGAACCUGUGGUGUUAGGAGGCAACUCAUACCAGCCCAUGGGUCUACCGUUUAAUUUUCAGAAAUUUGGCAAGCUGAUUGUUAACACAGCUGUUGUUUAAUUUAUGUACUUGUAAUUAAAUAAUUUACAUUAAAACAAAGAUAAUAGGUACUCAAAACUCAUGACUUUCUAGUUAUUUUAUUAUAUUUUACUAUUGUCUGUCCUCUUAAGGUGUUUGUUUCUAGUGUAUCUGGUGGAAACACUACUUCAUGUUUCAGUUGUGUCAAACCAGUAGCUUGAAAUCAGCCACUGUUGGAGUGUUUAUACCACAGAAAUUGAUAGAAGCUACAAAUGAAGUGUUGCUUGUUGAUUUGUUUUGUUAAUUGUCUGGCUUAAGAAAGUGGUAGAGAAAACAUUAAUGCAGAUUAAAUUUAAAAGCGUGUUGUGUCUGCGGCCGUUACAUUGCAAAUACAAAAAAUAAUUGAGGAAAUGUUCUUUGAAAACUAUUAUCUAAUUCUGCAAAGUUGUCACCUCAUUUACAAACAACUGCAGUUUCAGCUACCUCUUUAUUGUUUUACUUUCCUCUUACUGACAAUGAGAAUAUCAAUUAACAUUCAUGUCAGAACUACA